rnacentral:rRNA from 1 species
UACGAAGGGGGCUAGCGUUGCUCGGAAUCACUGGGCGUAAAGCGCACGUAGGCGGAUUGUUAAGUCGGGGGUGAAAUCCUGGAGCUCAACUCCAGAACUGCCUUUGAUACUGGCGAUCUUGAGUCCGGGAGAGGUGAGUGGAACUGCGAGUGUAGAGGUGAAAUUCGUAGAUAUUCGCAAGAACACCAGUGGCGAAGGCGGCUCACUGGCCCGAUACUGACGCUGAGGUGCGAAAGCGUGGGGAGCAAACAGG